AGAGACUCGCGUUUUACUUUUAUGUUUGGCAUACCUAAUUGGCCUGGUUACAGCGAUAAACCUGCAAGAGAAAAAUGAAAAACAAAAGUUGGAGUUAGAGCUUCAAAUUGUGAUCAUCUCGAUAAGAUCUUUUUUAUUGUUCUCAGAUUCUGGCCUUAUUCUUUCAGUUGUUAAACUAACGUCAUUUUAUUACUCUUAUUUACAUUGUUACCAAUCCGAUUAUCAAACUUUCGGCAGGUUGGAUGGUGAUAAUGAUGAUGAUAAUUAAAAGAUCAACCACGAAUGAAAGGCUCGAAAGAAGUAAAGUAGAUGACAGAAAAGCUGUGAAAAAAUGAAAAGCUAAUACAAGCCAACAUUAAGAAGCUCAAGAAGAUGGUACAGAUGGAGAGAAAAGAUAAAGAUUAAGAGGAUGAAAAGAAAGGUAAAGAUUUAAGGUUUAUGUGGAGAUGAAAACCUUUUUUUUCUUCAUUUUAUUCGGAUUGAAUUGAUUGUUCGUUAAUAGAAUUAUUCAAUAGGAUUGAUUAAAAGGCAAAGGUUUAUUGAGCAUCAAAAAGAAAGAUGUCAAGAUAUUGGUUAGAAUCUCAAUGAUGAUAAAGAAACGUCGGUCAUUUUUUUCAAUUCUUGGACAAAAAAGGAUAUCGAUACUGAGGAAACACCAAGGAAAAGAUGAAAAGAUCCCAAUACCUGCAAAUGACGAUAGACUGUCUCAAUUUUUCAUGAUUCGAGUUGUUUUGUUCACACAAAGAUUUGUUUUGAAUUUUCAAUUUUGUUUCAAUUUGGUUUUACAAUUGAAGGAUCGAUUAAUAUUGAAAGUGAAUCAAGUGAUUAACCUGAUUUUCCUGGUAAACAACAAGAUGAAUAAAAAAAACUUCACUGAUAGUUGACAUUUCUGAAGAGGAUUCAUUCGAUCUCAAAGGCUAAAGAAAGCAAGAUAAUGUAAUAAUAAAGUUAUGAAGCGGAUCCAAGACGAAAGGUUCAAGAUGAUGAUGAAAAGAUUGUGAAAGAUGAACCCAAAUAUACAAGAGGAAAUCAUGUUUUAAAUCUGUUUGAUACUCCAAGAUUUGGUUCGCUUCUUUUUUAUCAAAGUUUCAAAAUGAAAUAACCAAUCUUCCAAAACCUUAAAGAUUCAUUAUUGGAGCAAGAAUAAGAAGAAAAAGGAAAAGCUGAAGAAAAAAAUUCUACUUUCAUCAUCAUUCACAUUUUCACCAUCCACCACUGUUAUCAUCAUCAAGUAUUUACUCAAUCAAAAUCAAGUUCAUCAUCUUUUUUAUUACAUGAUAUACUCUAACAAGGAGUAACUAGUUAAUUUUGAUGAUUUAAACAGUACCAAGGGAACCGGAAACCCAAUUGACAUUCUUUCAACUUGAUCAUCAACAACAACAUUAAAUCCAAUUUAGUGGAUCCAGAAAGAGCGUAAAAACUGUUUCCAAUUAUAUUAACAUUCCAUCUCAAUAUCAUCAUCUUGGAUUAGCUUGAUACACCAUAUUGCAUUGUUAGCUGUUAAUGGUUCAACAAAUUAUCAGGCCAAAGGAAAAAAAAAGAUUCAAAAGUUUCAUCCAAUAUUGACUUAACUUUUCCUUUGAGCUGAAUAACUUGAAAUCCCAGGAAAAAAAGGAAAAAAAGCUCGGCAAAUCUUCAACAAUGAAAAUGAACUCCUGUUAUUUAAUCAUAAUACAACACAAUUCACUCAUAGUUUACAUAAUUAAUGAAUUGUCUUUGGUUACAUAUAUUUAAUUAAUGAGCAACGUUUAUCAAUGAUGAGCCAACAAUAAGGUAAUACAAUUGGAUAAUAACUAAACUAUUAAAUGACUAUAAAUUACCGUCAGGUAUGAUGUUCAUUCAACGUGAAUAGUUUCAAUUGUCAACCAUUAAACGAACGAUUGUCUUGGUGGUUAAUUAGAAAAGCAACUUUUAACUUGGAACCCAAAGUAAUGAAAAUUGAGUCGACUAAAAGUGAUCAACAAGAUGAUUAUGGAGUAAAGUAGGGACAAUUAAGGAGCUCGUCAAUUGGACAGCAAAGUUAAUUACUAUGCUAAUUGAAUUUGCUAAAUGAACAAAGUUAAAUUAAAGUUAAAGCAUUAACCAAAGCUUGAGUUGUUUCUUGGAUAUUGGUUAAAGGGAAAGGCCUCGAUCUGGAAAUUGACUGGUUCACUCGCAAUCACUGUAGACUGUAAAUCAAUGGGUAAACCCUUGAAGUGGUUCAACAUUUCCAGAUUUUCCCAUUUACUCAACGAUACAAUUGUGAAAAUUGUAAACUCGAAAAAUUCAACAUUAAUUGAGAGACUUACCUAUC